AAAAAAAAAAAAAAAAAAACCCCCAACCCAUCGUCUCCAUCUCCAACAUGACACUUCUCUGCUCAUCACCUUUCAUGUUUCUUCUCUCUUUGCAUUCUUUUUGCUUUUCUCUUUCUAAUUAGCAUUUGAUAUUAUUAACAAAUUAGCAUGCUUUCCUCCUUCACUAAAGACGCAUAGCUAACCGCCACCAGCAUAACCCUCUACUACUCACCGUCCAUCCACCACUGCUGCUACUACUACCAUCACCACUCACUACCCUUUUCUUUAUUUUCCUUCUCUUCUUGUUAUCAAGAUUCAUAAGCAUCCAAAAUCCAUGGCUACAACAGCGUCUUUUAUAGUAUAGUAAUUAGUUAAUUAAGAAAAAGGAGGAGAGAUAGGUUCAUAGGAGGUCGUGUUGUGG
rnacentral:misc_RNA from 1 species